GACAAAUCUAGAUUUCGAUUUACAUGCCCAACGACUUCCGCGGUCGACAUGGAUCGCAAGCGGCCGCGCCCUUCCCGGCCGUCGCCGGCGGCGGCCGCCGCCUCCUCGGUCCUCGACAGCGGAGACCUCCUCCGCGAGAUCCUCCUCCGCCUCGACCACCCCACCUCCCUCGUCCGCGCCGCGCUCGUCUGCAGGCGCUGGCUCCGCCAAGCCUCCGACCCGGCCUUCCUCCGCCGCUUCCGCGGCCUCCACCCGCCCCGGCUCCUCGGCUUCUACGUCAACAGCGCCAGCCUCCCUCUCCCGCGGUUCGUGCCCCUCCCUCAGCCCCCGGAGCUCGCUGCCGUCCUCCGCCGCGGCAACUUCGACCUGGACGCCGGCGAUUUCCACCUGGGGACGGGGAUCUACUACUGCCGGAACGGCCGCCUUCUCGUGUGCAACAGGAGGGGCUGGGAGUCCACGUUCCAGCUGCGCCGCCCGCUGCAUCCUGCCGGCGACAGAAUCGCGGUCUCGACCGUCCGUACACCGCCGCUCGUGGACAACAAGCGCCAUAGCCGGUAUAUGCUCCUUCCCGAUCGCGAUGGCGAUGAGAACGGCGGCGUGGCGUGCACUGUGGUGACCGUGGUGAGCAGCGAACGGGAUGCCUUCGCGAAGGUGGAAACAAUCUUGCAAACUGGGGUCUGGGUCGGCGCCCGAACCUCGGCGCCCAUUGAGCUACCGGCACAUUGGAGGAGAUCAUUGAGCCGGGGUUUUCUUGUCAAUGGCAAGCUGUAUAUGUUGGGCACAACAGGGUAUGUUCUUGGAUUGGAAUUUGCAUCCAUGAGCUUGUUCGUCAUUGAGGUUCCGGAUUCUGUGCGAGACGACUGCCCUGAGAGCUUUCAGCUGAGUGUUAAAUCCUCACAAGCAGAGAAAUCUGGUCUUUAUCUGAUCCAUGUGGAGGGGUUUAAGAUCCGUGUUUGGCUUCACGGAACAGACGGGAACAUCACUGGCAAUUGGACUCUUCUAAAUACUAUUUGUUUACGCGAGGUGUUUGGUCAUCUUGUUAAGCCUAGUUGGGAGUCAGGGGAUUUGCGCAUUAGUCUGCCUGGGUCCGGGGACAAUGCUGAGUUUGUGUUCUUGGAGGUGGAUGGAGAAGUCUUUUGCGUGCAUAUUGUCAGCAGGACAGUCCAGAAGGUGUAUGAGAUGGAAAUGAAGGAUGAUUUUCUGUUUGAGAUAUACCCCUUCAUGAUGGUUUGGCCACCCAUAUUCCCAGCAUUGGUCAAAACACAUGAUCAAGAGUGAUUCUACAAAGUUUCUCUCUGGAUGAUUUGCGUAAUAAAGUGAUGAUACAUGCUGUUCUACUACUUCUGUAAUGAGGGACAGUGCCAUGGUGUCACAACAUUUCAGCAUAUGGGGCUGAAACGAGCUUGUUAAUUGAUGCUCCGGAGACUAAAAUUUAUUUGCUUUCCAUAUUUGUGGAGGCAAUUUUGAUCUCCUGAAGUUCAGGGGCCAUUUGGUGGUCCCUGAUGUGUAUUGACACCUGCAGCUUAAAUUUAUCUUAUAUCUUGAUUCAAUCUGGAGUGUAAUGAAUUCUAGCCCUGUCCUUGGGUUAUGGCUUAUAUAAUACCAUAUGACUGAGUAGAGGAGCAAACAUAUUGUUUCAUUAAAAGUGAAUUUACCAUUUUAUGAUACUAAAUACUUGCCUUUUAUGUGGCAUUACUUUUUAAUGUUUAUAAUAUAUGGGCAUUUACUAACAGAAGAUAAUAUCGCGUAAGUACUUUUAACAUUACAUUUUGGCAACAUAGUGUUCGAAGGAAAUCUAACAGUAUUUGGUUCCAGCAGGUUUGACUCAACUUUCUUCUAUUAUUUCUUAAGGUCUUGAUUUUACUGCAGCAUUAUUUUUUAGCCUCUCAGACCCAAUGCUCAUGACAUUUGGCCUUGGUAGUUUCUAAUACUAUCUUUAUCACUCGAGUCAAGCCAAUUACCACAACAGAAGUACACAAACUAGCUUGUUAAGUUAAUCAAGUACCAUGACAAGACUACCAGUUUUAGCUUUGAGCUUUUCUGAAACACCAUUUUGUAAGAAUUCAUCAUUUGUUUCUCUAAA